AUGCGGCAGAUCGCUCCAUCUCCAUCUUCGACAGGGAAAGGAAUCGCACCGUGGAUAAUUGCCAUAUGUGUAGCUGCACUUGUUGGACUAGUUGCUUUCUACUUCAUUGUUUACUACCGCCGUCUCAGAAGAAACAGAAAAGGUAAACUGAGAUUACCAGAAAAGCCAACGCACACGUUGCAAGCAGGAGACGUGCUAGUUUGGGAAAUGGAAGCAGAGUUCCCUGAGUUUUUGGUCUUGGACUUUCAUCAGAUAUUGCAGGCUACAAAUAACUUUUCCGAAGAAAACAAACUUGGAGAAGGUGGAUUUGGUCCUGUAUAUAAGGGCCACUUUGCUGCGGAGAUGGAAAUAGCAGUUAAGAGACUUGCUUCUCAUUCAGUACAAGGUUUUGAGGAGUUUAAAAAUGAAGUUCAACUCAUAGCCAAACUUCAACACAGGAAUUUGGUUAGGCUGUUGGGAUGUUGCUCAGAAGGAGAUGAGAAAAUACUGGUAUAUGAAUACAUGCCAAACAAAAGCUUGGACUUCUUCAUCUUUGAUGAAAAUACAAAAGAUUUAUUGGAUUGGAAGAAACGUCUCGCAAUAAUUGAAGGAGUAGCCGAAGGACUUGUUUAUCUACAUAAGCACUCUCGGCUGCGUGUCAUACAUAGAGACCUUAAACCAAGCAACAUUCUAUUGGACAACGAAAUGAAUCCAAAAAUUUCUGAUUUCGGAAUAGCAAAAAUAUUCAGCUCAAAUGAUAGCGAAGAAAACACUACAAGAAGAGUGGUUGGUACACAUGGCUACAUGGCUCCAGAGUAUGCUUCUGAAGGGCUCUUCUCUAUCAAAUCUGAUGUAUUUAGCUUCGGUGUUCUGACUCUUGAGAUCCUUAGCGGGAAAAGAAAUUUCAGUGGCUGUCAAUGCAAAGAUUUUAUCAAUAUACUUGCAUAUGCUUGGCAUCGAUGGGAAGAAGGAAGAUGGAUCGAACUGAUUGAUGCAUCGUUGCUCCCGCAGUGUCACUCAGGUGAAAUGACGAGGUGCAUUAAUAUUGCACUAUUAUGCGUACAAGAGAGUGCAGUUGACCGACCAACAACAUUGGAUGUUGUUGCAAUGCUCAGUAACAAACAUAUGUUCCUACCUGAGCCUAAGCACCCAGCAUACUUAAAUUUAGUGGAAGGCAAUGAAGAACCAGUCACCAUUACUCAGUUUGACCAAAUUAGACCCACAACUACAAGAUAUUGA
rnacentral:rRNA from 1 species